rnacentral:lncRNA from 10 species
AGAGCUUGAGAGAUUUAUACCCCAGCCCAAGAUCCACAGUCAUUAAAUGGCAGGGCUCUAGUUCAAAUCCAGGUCAGUGUGAUUCCAGAGCUCACAGUCUCACCACUACUCUCUUCUAGAAUUUACAGUCUUCAUGCUUUGCUCUUCUCUCCUUCCCUCUCAAGACUGCAAUCAUGGAGCUGAUAGACUUAUUUUCACCAAAACAUAAAUGAUGGGCACAGCUUAUUAUGUUUUUUUUCUGGAUGCAUUUUGAAAUGACCAUUGGAUGUACUUCUUUUGCAUUUUUAUUGUGAAAUACAGAACCAGUUUUGGCACUUUAUAAGGAGACAUGCAUACAAGGAGAAUGCCAGGUGAACGUGAAGACCAUCAUUUGCAAGCCAAGAGAGGCCUGGAGCAGAUCCUUCAGAGCCCUCAGAAGGGACCAACCCUGCUGGCACCUUGAUUUUGGACUUCCAGCCUCCAGAACUAAGAACUUGAUGUAUACCUCCUGACCUGUUCAUCUUGUAGCUGCCUCUUGACAGGUUGCUGACUUCGCCUGGAGGGACUCUAUCAGAUGGAAUCUCCCUCUGUCAUCCCGGCUGGAGUGCAAUGGUGCGUUCUUGGCUCACUGCAACCUCUAUCUCGCAGGCUCAAGUAAUCCUCCCACUUCAGCCUAUUGAGUAACUGGGACCACAGGUGCACACCAUCAUGCCAGGAGAAACAAAUGCCAAACAGUGAAGGUCAAGAAGGCCAUAGUGAUAUAUGCAAGUUCAAAAAGUGGAAGAAGCUUUUACACAGAGAAAUAUCAAUCAGCCAGCUUUUCAUGGCUGAUGCCUGAAAAUAUCAUCCACCUGUGUCUCUGAGCAUACUUUGGCUUUGACUCCUAGUGAUAUUACAUGUAAUGUCAUGGCUAGAUAUUUCAAUUUCAGAAACAAAUGAUUCCACUGAAUAGUAAGACAUUUGCCAACUGGACAAUAAUUCAUAAGGAGAGGGUUCAGAAACUGUAAGUUUUAUUAUGAAAAGGUAAGGAAAUCCAACCCUAGAUGGAGGUAACUUGGAAAGAAUGAUUGGUUAUUUUGUAUAACUCUAAAGGGCAUAACUAGGACUAACAAGUCAAAGCUUUCAGGAAGAAAAUUUCUAUAUAAUGUGCAGAAAUUUCAAACAGUUGAUCAGUUGCUUUUGUUAUUAUUGUUAGAGACAGGAUCUCACUAUGUUGCCCAGGCUUGAUUCUAACCUCCCCCACUGCCAACCCCCCGGCUCAAGCAAUCCUACUGCCUUAGCCUCUUGAGUAGCUGGGACUACGGGCACACACACACACACCACUGCACCAGGUAAAUUUCUAACAACUCAAAGUGUUAUAAAGGAAUAGGUCGCCUAGUAGCAUGGUCAGCGGUGUCUGUAAGACUUCUCGUCAGUCAGGCUGCGGUAUGGGAUUGAAGUGGAAGAUCACUAAGAAAUGGAGGGAAUGAAUUUCAGAAUGGGUGGGGGGUUUCAGGGUGUUGGGUCAAUAGCUGUCUUAUCAAUGGAGCUGAGAAUGAAAACCUAGGAAAAGUGACACUGGCUCUAGAAGGGAACUGGGCCAUCUGCCUUAUAGACCAUCUGCUAAUUUGUUGCUCAUUUAUUGGUGAAACUUGGGAAGGUAAUGGAUAUGUAUGAGCUCUCUCAGAACUUGCCUUGUUGCCUAAUGGAUAUCUUUGACUUUUCCAACUCCAAGUAUCUGUAAAAGUUCCUAAUUUCCUCAUAGACUUGUAAAACCACUCAAACCCACCAGGCCCUUAUUCUGUUUCCAAGAUCACCUUUCAGGUGUCACCGUGUUGACAAGUUAUUUGGAGCUCUAUUGACCUUGUCUCAUUAUUGGAACUUUUCUAAUAUCUUGAAUGCAGAUGGAAGGAAAGGAGACAAUAACAACAAAAAAUAAAACUGCAACAGCAUGAUUUAUUAUAGUAUAUAUUUCUCAGAAGAGACAAAAACAGCAUCAAUGAAGAGCAAUCAUAGAAGGUUCACAGUUGCCUCAGAACCAAUUCAACAAUUCAUAGGGGGUUGGCAUCACAUAAACAGCUGGGAAAAAGCAGUUAAAUGAUUUUCUACAUGCUCUUAGGGAGAGACUGUGUCUAAUCUGAUGCAGUUGCUCCAAAGGAGCGCAGCUAAUGACAUCUACACCAAAUAUCAGUUCAAUAAAUUGCUUCCUUUCAUUAAUCUGAGUGUCGGUGUCUGCAUUAACGGUGUUAACACAGCAGAAGGUCUAAAGGAGAGAUAAUAAGGACCUGUUUUUAGUGACAUGUGGGGGCGGCCCUGUGAAAACAAGCAAAUAUAUAACUGGUCCCUUGACUCUGGUGAAUCAAAACCAUUUCAUUUAUUCAUUCUGUCACUCCAAAAUUAUUCUUUGAGUGACUACUAUGUGCCUGGUCCUGGGCUAUGUCCUCAUGUACCAAUGGACAAAGGGCCUUCAGGGAGCUUAUAGUAGGUGGGGAGGAGGCAGAAGUCAUCACCUGCAUACAUAAUUGACUGUGAUGAGGGAUAAGAAGGGAAAGUAUGCAUUACUUUGAAAAAAUGCAACAGGGGAAUACCUUUAGAUGGAGACUGACCAUCUUUCUAGAAAAAUCAGGGCUUUAGGCUAGAAGAGCUUGUAGUGUAUGGGCGAUUAUGACUCCUCUGGGAGUCUAGGCGUACAUGAACAGUGUGCGUUUACUAUCAAAUCUGUAUGUGACUAUGUUUUGCAGUGGGCAGGCCUAAACAAACUUACCCCCCUCCCUCCCCAAGGCCAAGGAAGCUGAGAGGCCAAAGAUAAAAGCUAACAUAUCCAGUCUCUUAGAAAUAAGCAUUCAAUAGGGACUUGGCAAACAGAAGCCAUGUCUCUAUCUCAGGUGGCAGUGAGACAAGAUGGUGGAUCCCUACACCAUUACCCCUCAGACGCAGGGCUUAUAUGGUAUAGGGAAAGGGUGAUUCAGAAAGGAUGCAUAGGACAAUUGAAGUGCGAUAACAUCAAGACUGUUUGGCUUAAGGGCAGGAUUUACAGUAAGUAUCUGUUCUUACACAAGGAGCAAUAGAUAAACUGGAAAUUGUAGAGGCCUUCCCAGAGCUGGAUUUAAUCAGAAGCCAACAUGGAAGAUGAGCAUCCAAGAUGGAGUUGCUUUGGUCUCCACAAACUGUAUUGGGAAAAUACAACUUUCCUUACCCUGAUUAUUAUACAUUAUGGUUAGGUGCUUAUAAAUGAAGAUAAUGACCAUUUCUGUAAUCGGCAAUGUACUGUAAAUGAGAUGGAAGCACAGUGUAUCUCUGGGCAAGGUGUGUAAUAGUAAGGCCUUCCCUUUCCUUCCACCCUCAAGGCUUGGGUGGAUUAAGAAUCUCUGGUCACUAUGGCACCUUAUGACCAUUGAUGAGCAUCACUUCAAGAAAGAACUAGGACUGUCUCUGGACAGAGCAUUUUUUCUUUGAACUCUGGUGUCUGUGAGCUGGCUCACCUGAUUCGGGCGCUCUGUGGCUUCCAAGAUUCAUCUUGAGAAUCACAUCAAAAGUCCUGAAACUGACUGACCAUCAGGGGAUGCAGAAGAGAGAAGGGUGCCCUGGCUAAGCACUGGCUGCAAUGCUGGUCCAAGGGGGAGAAACUACAUGGCCAAGAAAAUGCAGCUCACUCGUGGGAAUGUCAUAGCACCUGGAGGAACUCAUAAAAUAGCAUAGGAAUAUGCCUAUACCAUUUCUGCUUCUAUUUCAUUGAGGGAGUGAAUAUGAUAAGAUGUCAUCAGGUGACUGAAUGUAUCGUUAGCAUUCUCCUCCUUAUUGAUUACAUUUAUUGAAAUCUUGUAUGUCAGGCACUGUUUUAAGCUCUGUCAUCCAUCUGUCUGUCUAAAACCUCAUUAAAUUGUCACAACUGAUUGCCAAAUGUAACUCUUCAAAACAGGAAUAUUCUAAUUUAUUUUUCUUAUAACUGGGAAGAUAUUUUUAAGUUUCCAAAAAGAAAGAGUUAAUGUUUUUAAUAAAAGGUGUUCCCAUUCCCUG